GCGGGGAUGGAGCAACGGCGGCUCGAAAGGUUCAUACCCUUUACAUCAGCGGGUUCAAUUCCCGCCCCCGUCACCA
rnacentral:tRNA from 1 species